CGUAGGGUCCGAGCGUUGCCCGGAAUUAUUGGGCGUAAAGGGCUCGUAGGCGGUUCGUCACGUCGGGAGUGAAAACUCGGAGCUUAACUCCGAGCCUGCUUCCGAUACGGGCAGACUAGAGGUAGGCAGGGGAGAGCGGAACUCCUGGUGUAGCGGUGGAAUGCGCAGAUAUCAGGAAGAACACCGGUGGCGAAGGCGGCUCUCUGGGCCUUACCUGACGCUGAGGAGCGAAAGCGUGGGUAGCGAACAGGAUUAGAUACCCUGGUAGUCCACGCCGUAAACGUUGGGCGCUAGGUGUGGGGGACAUUCCACGUCCUCCGUGCCGCAGCUAACGCAUUAAGCGCCCCGCCUGGGGAGUACGGCCGCAAGGCU
rnacentral:rRNA from 1 species